rnacentral:pre_miRNA from 1 species
UUAUAUGAUUAAUAUUUUAAUAAUUCAAUCGUCAGAUUUUUAAAUAUAUUUGUACUUGUCAUACAAAUAAAAUUUUGAAUCAGUCUAAAUUUUUAUUAUAUCGAUCUAAAAUAUUGUUUACAUUAAUAUAUAUUUAACUGUUAAAAUUUCUUUAACAUAAAAUAUUUAAUUCAUGUCAAACUUGACGUGCAUAAUCUACAAAAAUGGACCAUAAAAUAUGAUGGUUGGAUUGUUAAAAUAUUAAUUAUACAA